UACCAGCACCCCGAGUGGUCGGGACGUUUAUUGGGCCUAAAGCAUCCGUAGCCGGUUCUACAAGCCUUCCGUUAAAUCCAACUGCUUAACAGGUGGGCUGCGGAAGAUACUAUAGAGCUAGGAGGCGGGAGAGGCAAGCGGUACUCGAUGGGUAGGGGUAAAAUCCGUUGAUCCAUUGAAGACCACCAGUGGCGAAGGCGGCUUGCCAGAACGCGCUCGACGGUGAGGGAUGAAAGCUGGGGGAGCAAACAGG
rnacentral:rRNA from 1 species